rnacentral:lncRNA from 1 species
UAAUUCUGAAAACUAAUAAUCAGAUUUUUUUCUCUCCAGCUGGUUCAGGUUUUCUAAGGUCAUGGGAAUCUCUCUUAGUUGGAGGUGUUGGUGCUGUGCUGGUGAACAUAGUUCCUCCUUACAUGGACAAAUACAGAAUUGACGAUCCUGUUGGCGCCGUAGCUGUGCAUGCCAUGGGUGGUCUAUGGGGUAUGAUUGCAGUUGGAUUAUUCAUUGAUGAUGAUGACUUACUCAAUCUUACGCACAGUUGAAGUGGACUACUGAAGGGCGGUGGCCUUUUUCUGCUGUGAGUGCAACUAUUGGCAUGUAUUGCGGUCAGUCUCUGGAUCAUGAUCACUACAUAUCUUAUAUUAAAAGGAAUCGAUUAUUUUGUACCAAUUCGUCUGGCACCACCCGAAGAAAUCCUUGGAGCAGAUUUUGUUGAACACGACGUCCGCCACGAAGGUUAUAACUAGGAAGUGAUGAUGACAGAAUUGGAAAACCUGGGAUUGAAACUCCGACAUCCUCGAAUCCACCCAGGAAUCAGUGAGAUGAUCAUCUAAUCCUACAGUACAUAGAAAAAGUUCUCAACAAAAAUGACACCUCAACAGUGGACCACCCUUUGCCUGACAUAACAUCUUCCUAUCUCGACUGGAGAACAUUUCCUUAUAAGGAGCGAUCGGAUGGAUGCUAUUUAUCUUCAAUUAUUAUCUGUUUGCCAUAAUUGAAAUACUUGAAUUUUACGAGAAAGGAUAACAGACCUUAUUAUUUUCAAUGAUAUUAGAAAUAUGUGAGUUCUUGAAAAGAUUCAGAGGUGAGCCACGGAAAACUGGCAAAUAUGUCGUGGAUAUAGUAGUUUUUUUCAACCGGUCAAGUGCGUAUAACGAGAAUACACGUCUUAUAGACGUUUAAAAUAAAAAAUUACCAUGGAGUAGUAUCAAAACUCGGCAUUUCAAUAAAACACAACUAAAAAAUUA